rnacentral:rRNA from 1 species
AGGACGAACGCUGGCGGCGCGCUUAACACAUGCAAGUCGAACGGGGCUCCUUCGGGGGUUCAGUGGCGAACGGGUGCGUAACACGUGAGCAAUCUGCCCUUGUGCGGGGGAUAACCAGAGGAAACUCUGGCUAAUACCGCAUGACAUCCUCUAGCUGAUGGCUUAGGGAUCAAAGCUGCUGCAAGGCAGUGCGCAGGGAGGAGCUCGCGGCGUAUCAGCUAGUUGGUGAGGUAACGGCUCACCAAGGCGAUGACGC